GAGUUUGAUCUUGGCUCAGGGUGGUAGGAACAUUGAGGCUGGGGCCGCCUGAGGCUUUGGCAUGAGGCUGGGGGGCUGAGGAGAGAUGUGAAACAGUUACACCGGGGGUGAAGGUGUCAGAGAGGCCUCUCAGUUUCAGCUUGAGUCGGCAGGCAGGCCAUGGUGGUGGCUGGUGGGGAAGUCACCACUGCCCCAGGCCAGAGAGGAUUGCCUCUGAGCCAGGGAUGUCCAGGGCUGCCUCUGAGAGAGGUACGGGUGGGAGUGGACACGGGCAGGUCAACCACUGUCCCUGCCCCAUGACCCCGACACAGGUCAGAUGACCCAGAUGUGGGGGCCAGGGCAGGAGCAGUUGAGGGGCCAGGCUAUCAGCUGAGUCGAAAGUUGGGACCCCA
rnacentral:rRNA from 1 species